rnacentral:misc_RNA from 1 species
GAUGAAGAACGCAGCGAAAUGCGAUAAGUAAUGUGAAUUGCAGAAUUCAGUGAAUCAUCGAAUCUUUGAACGCACCUUGCACCCUUUGGGAUUCCGAAGGGUAUGCUCGUUUGUGUGUCAUUGUACUCUCACACUUCUGAUCCUUUGGAUUGGGAGCGGUGGACUUGGGUGUUGCUGCUUUACUGUGGCUCACCUCAAAUGCAUUCGUGCAACUCUUGGUUGGACAUAGUACGGCGUGAUAAGUAUCUUCGCCGGCACCUCGCAAGAGGGUGGCUGAUCAGGAGCUCUGUGCUUUCCAACUGUCUUCAGACAACAACUGACAACUUGACCUCAAAUCGAGUAGGACCACCCGCUGAACUUAAGCAUAUCAAUAAGCGGAGGA